rnacentral:lncRNA from 1 species
CUUUAGAAGAAGAAAUGAUGAUUUCGACUGAUUCGAAUGCUCGAAAGUUAUUCCAAGCACCCGAAAUUCAAAAGGUUGUGUGUUAAUUUUUUUGUGCAGAGCAAGAUCACCAUACUGGGUCCCCCGAAAGUGUAAGAAAAUUUUUAAAAUAAUAUAUUUUGUUUAUUGAUUUUUAGUGAAUGGAUGUGAUUCUUCGUGAAAGAAUGCAAUCCUUAGUGAAUGGAUGCAACUCUUAGUGAAUGGAUGCAACCCUUAGUGAGUGGAUGCAACUCUAAUCAAAGGGUGUGACUCUUAGAGUGAAAGAAUGUGACUUUUAGUGAAAGGAUAUAAGAUGAAAAGACACAUCUUUAUAGUGUGCCUCUUCGUACAUAUGUCCGUUGGAAUUAAUUCUUAGAUUCAUUGAACUUGACUCAUAAAACUAAUUGGUAGUUAUGAUCAAAUGAAAAGUCACAAUUGAAGGGCCACUUCAUGAAAUAUCUGUUCAUGAAUGGUCACUUCAUGAAGCACCCGUUCGUGGUCUAUAUAAAUCUACAACGUUGGUUGCAGAAAGAACAUAGAAAAACAGUUGAAGAGUUUAAGUCUUCAUUCACAAUAAUUCUAUUCUUGUUUUCUUAUUCUAUUUCUUUUGACAACUUAAUCGAGUGAGUGCUCAAAAGCUCAACUUCGUGUGUGCAAACGCAGUUGAGGUUUAUGCUUCAUUGUAUCCUGGAAGGCUGUUCGUUGACUCGGUGCACACCAAUUGUUAGAACAGUGGGGACGGAUUAAGCCUUAAGGAAAGUGGCAUUGCUACACGCCUUGAAGCCUUUUUCAUCUUUCUAUUUCAUACCUUUAUCACUAUCUGUUCAAACAUAAAGUUAUU